GUAAUUAAAUUCCUUAUUUAAUCACUAAGGAAUAAAAGAUGUUUGGUUGCUUGCAUGAGGUUAAACACCAAAUCCAGGGUUAAACUGGCAACUAUGAUUCUCUAACCAUUUACCCCCAGGCAUUGAAAGAAUAUUCCAGCUAGAGUUAUAUCCUGGACUGCUUUAUCCUGAUACUUUUGCAAAAGAAGUAUCCAAACCAACACAACCAACUUUGGAGCAUCUAUUACCACUCUCAUUCUGAUUGAAAUAUACUUUUCAAGUAGAGUAGUCAUGUUGAGGUGAGAAGUGGCUGUAGAUUUACAUGUGGUUUGCAUGUGGACCUGAUGUUCCCUGAUGUGACUUUGUGGUCAGGGGCAAACAUUAAGCCUAAGUCUCCCUAAAUAACCCACUCAUCAUGGCCACAGCUAUAUUGAGGGUAUGGCACAAAACUUGUACAGACAUGCUGCAAAAGCUGUUGAAGUCCAGUGCCUUAGGGAAACUUUGUAGUCCCUUGCAGGUGCCCCUGCUCCAAUAGGACAAGCACAAGAGCUAUGUACCCUACAGCAUGUCCACCAGCUUGCAAAAACUCUCCUCCUAAUGAAUCCAUAAGAAAUGAAAGGGACUCUGAAGCCAGCACAGUCACAGCCUGGAGAAACCAAUGCUGUGGCUGGGCAACAGCAUCUUCAGGUGAUACUUAUCCUAUAAUCCACUUUUCCCUGGAGCAGCACUAAUUGCCUGGCUGGACUUAUCAGCAGACAGAAGGAUGCAUGUGCUGGAAGGAUAAGAGGCCAACUAGUGGUAAAUGUCACCCUGAUGAGCUUUACAGCCACUUCAGAUGUGUGAGGGUCUAAAAUCUGGCUGCUUUAUCCCAAGGGAGAUCUUUCUUUUUGGUAUUCCCCUGACUCGCACAGAUCUGAGCCCUGCCCUUUGACGAAAGAUCAGGUGUCAGCAGGGGACCUGGCUUGGAAGCAAGACACCUUCAAAGACAAGCUCUGCUCUUCCCUGCUUUCUAUGAGAGCAGGAGAAGCUGUGGGGACUCAAAGGACACGAGGCUGAGCCAGCUGCGACUGAAUCCACCGGUCUGUUGGGAGGCUGCUGAGGAAUAAACCAGGCUCUGGAAUCCAGGAAGAGGCGAACAGCAAUGAGCAGGGAGGAGAAAGGACCAGGAGUCACGGGGAUGGAUUUUCCUCCACCGUGUGGCUUCCCUCCACCCUGUCAAACACCUUAUCUUGCAAUUUCAUUUUCAAUUAUCUUAUCUGCUCCGCAGUGCAAAUGUUUUCCCUGUGCUGGAUUUCAUACGUAAACAUCUGCAGAUGGCUUAUUGCUUUCUUAACUGAGGGAGAUAGGAAAACACAGUAAGCUGCCUGGAAAGGCAUAAUAAAUGUAUUAUUUGCUCUAUUGCAAUUAAGAUAAUCGUAUUUUCAUUAUAAAUUGCUAUUUUAGCUUAUACUCCAGAGAUAUAAAAAUCUUCCUGAAAAGCGAAGCAUUGAAUAUUACCCCAGCACAUACUGAAAAGGGGCUUUAUUAUUAUCAGUUUUUGCAGUAAAAGCCCAGUACAGCUUUUAUAGUCCCUUGUUUAUAAAAAGCAGCAUUUAACAUUUCCUUAUUAAAUAUUUAGAGUGAAUGUUUA